GGAAUAUUGGACAAUGGGCGCAAGCCUGAUCCAGCAAUGCCGCGUGUGUGAAGAAGGCCUGCGGGUUGUAAAGCACUUUCAGUGGGGAGGAAGGCCUCGGCGUUAAUAUCGUCGAGGAUUGACGUUACCUACAGAAGAAGCACCGGCUAACUCUGUGCCAGCAGCCGCGGUAAUACAGAGGGUGCAAGCGUUAAUCGGAAUUACUGGGCGUAAAGGGCGCGUAGGUGGUUAAUUAAGUCAGAUGUGAAAUCCCCGGGCUUAACCUGGGAAUUGCGUUUGAAACUGAUUGGCUAGAGUACGGGAGAGGGAAGUGGAAUUUCCGGUGUAGCGGUGAAAUGCGUAGAUAUCGGAAGGAACACCAGUGGCGAAGGCGACUUCCUGGCCCGUUACUGACACUGAGGCGCGAAAGCGUGGGGAGCGAACA
rnacentral:rRNA from 1 species